UCGUCAAAUUGGCUGUGACGUG
rnacentral:miRNA from 1 species